GGAGGACUCAACGUUGAACUUGUCAAGUUCCAACUCCUGGUACUCCUCUGAAACCAAAGCAUGUUCAUCUACAACGUCCACAGAAUUUGGAAUUCAUAGGGGACUGUACUUUCAAAGAAGCUUUCUUGCUGGAUUCCUUUUCCUGACCGAUCUGAAUAAGACGACUCAAUUAUCAGUGGACCAUGAAGAGGCAAUGACAUUGACUGACAGCCAGUGAACAUCCAGUCACUACCAGACGGGAAUCUCAUUUACCUUGAAGUGAACAGCUUCUGAGGCUCAUGUUGUUCCACAUUCUUUAAACAGCUCCCUCCCAGUGCAGCAUGCACAAGAAGGCUACACAGCAAGAGG